rnacentral:rRNA from 1 species
UCCGUAGGCGGUGUGGUAAGUCGAUAGUGAAAUCUCUGGGCUUAACCCAGAGGCUGCUAACGAAACUGCCAUGCUAGAGUGUGAGAGAGGCGAGUGGAAUUACGGGUGUAGCGGUGAAAUGCGUAGAUAUCCGUAGGAACAUCCGAGGCGAAAGCGGCUCGCUGGAUCACAACUGACGCUGAGGGACGAAAGCUAGGGGAGCAAACAGGAUUAGAUACCCUGGUAGUCCUAGCCCUAAACCAUCAGGACUUGGGGUUUGCCCUGUACGGGGCAAGUCCCGUAGCUAACGCGUUAAGUCCUGCGCCUGGGGAGUACGGUCGCAAGGCUGAA